rnacentral:pre_miRNA from 1 species
AUGUAGGGCAAUCUGUCUUCAGGUAGGGAUAAAUUACGCUAAAACAAACAAAAAAAAAGAAUCCUAGAUAGUUUUCCCUUCAGAUCAAGCAUCUUGU